CAAUAGCGUAUAUUAAAGUUGUUGCAGUUAAAAAGCUCGUAGUUGGAUUUGUGGUUCGUCCCGCCGGCUGGGUCAUUGACUUUUGCUGUGCUGGUCGUCCAUCCUUGGGUGGAAUCUGUGUGGCAUUAGGUUGUCGCGCAGGGGAUGCCCAUCGUUUACUGUGAAAAAAUUAGAGUGUUCAAAGCAGGCUUAUGCCGUUGAAUAUAUUAGCAUGGAAUAAUGAUAUAGGACCUUGGUACUAUUUUGUUGGUUUGCGCACUGAGGUAAUGAUUAAUAGGGACAGUUGGGGGUAUUCGUAUUCCAUUGUAAGAGGUGAAAUUCUUGGAUUUUUGGAAGACGGACUACUGCGAAAGCAUUUACCAAGGAUGUUUUCAUUAA
rnacentral:rRNA from 1 species